GAACGGUAACGAUUGCUCUUGUACGUGGAAAAAAAAACAAAACAACAAAACAACGAUUGCCCUUGUCCAGGUACGACCGUACGACGAUGGACGCCGUCACCUAGCAGGAACUUGAAUCUGAGGUCCUUUCCAAGAUCCGGUUCGCCAAGCACCGCUUGGAGACUUCCCUCUUUUAUGCCCGUGUGCUCUGCUUCUUUGAUUUUUCGGAAUGUGGCAUGGGUAGAGGGUAUUUGCUGGAUUGGAGCUAGUGGGAGCGUUCUUGAGAUUUCUGGGGACUUUCCGACUGGGUUAAUUUGGAGUGGAGCAACGAGCUUGGUUCUGAAUCCCAUCAAAAAGGAUUUGUCUCCAAAUACAAGACAUCUCAAGGAAAUUUGACUUAGGGUUGGAAUUCGGAGUUUGUUUAUUUUUUGGGCAUUGGUCAGGUUGCAUCGGAAAUUAAUUAUGUAAUUUUAAGUAUUUAUUUCUUGAUGUUAAAAAUAAUUGAAUAAUUUACCAGAAAAAGGAAUCAUGCAAAAUUUAUAUUGUCUGUAUGUUAAUAUGCAUAUUUUGUUCAAAGUGUCAAUUUGUUCAAAGAUUUCUAGAACAUUAUUUUGGUAUAUUAUCUUGUUGUAGAAAGUAAAAUUAUACCUUAUUCUCAAGGUAUCAGUUUAAAUUUGCUACACAAUCUGUUUUGCUUAUCACUACUUGGUCACUAAAUUAACUAUGUAUAUGACAGGCUUCUUCAAUAUAUAAUUCAAUAGCUUAUGUUAUGCAUAAUAAUACUCUAUUGUUCAAACCAUAGUGCAUUUAUGAAGUAAUUAUAGUCUCACAUCAGUUAACUAAGUUUAGUUUUUUUUUAUUCCUUUUCAAAUUUCAAGUUAUAGCGCACUCAUAUCAGAGAUAACAGUCUUGUAU